rnacentral:lncRNA from 1 species
CGAGGGACAGUAGCAGCGACUUGUCUCCAUUAUUACUUUUAUUGGUGACUAAGCAAACUCUUUGCGGUGCUUUUUUGUCGCCGCUAAUAAUCGUUUUUUCUUGUAGUGGAUAAAGUCCUAAAAUCAACAAAACUAUCCUAAAAAUUACAUACAUUUUAAAUUAAUAAAACUAUCUCAAAAUUAAUAUAUAGAUUUUUAACAAGGGAUAUGGGAAAAGUGUAACAACAAAUAACGACAAAGCUUUAUUUGCACUAAAGCUAUGAUGAAAUAAAACAAGUGAAGAUAAUGAUGUGUGUAAGGGUUUUUACAAAAAUAAAGGAAAUAAACAUAAGGGUAUUUAGAUAAGGGUGUUGGGUAUGGGCAACGCCCUAUGGGCGUCAGGGGCGGAUCCAAGGGGUAUCCCGGGGUAGCCUGGGAUACCCCUCAAAAAAAUUUCGGUAGUGUAAAUUUUUAGAAAAAUAAAUUGUUUUAUUUAGUGUAUAUAUACCCAUCCAUUCACUUAUAAGCACAAACAAAUAGUUAGUCUACUGGUUAAGGUGUUGGCUUGAUGAAAUAAAAGUCUCAGAUCAAUUCUUGUUCCUUACAAAUCAUUUGUUUACAUUUCUUUUAUUUUUCCAGCUAUUUUAUUCUUUUAUUUUCCUAACUAUUAUAUCCCACAUUGCCAAACACAUGUAAACUUAGUUAUUUUCAUCUAUUAUAUAAGUUUGUUAUCCUAAUGCUUUAUUUGAUAUCUACUUUAAGUCCACAUGGAUUGAAGUAUCAAAAGAUACUUCAAUUUCAUGUUUAUAUAACAGUACUUGAAGUUAGCUAAUGAUUCGAUUAAGGUUUGGGUUUAAAACCAAAACCAAACCAGGAAACCCAAGUACAAAUUGAAAACUGAAAAACCAAACCAAUGGUAUUGGGUUCGGUUUGGUUUAAAAUUUUCAAAACUGAGGCUAUUGGUUUUGGGUUCGGUUUUAGGAAAAACUAACCCAACCCGCCCAAUGCUCAGCCGAUGCGGUGAUACCCAGAAAAAAAAAUGGGAUACCCCUUUACUUUGAGUCUGGCUCCGCCACUGAUGGGUGUUAUAACACACAAAAACAGCCCUCUUUACCUUUUUUGGGUGUUAUACAUCCGCUGUUGCUUCCCGUUGCCACCAUCACCUUCGUUUAACUCUGUUUCUUUGUUUUUACCAAAAAACGCCGAUGUGGGCGUUGACCACAUCGACCAGCUUAAGGAAUUAAGGAAAGGAUUUUGGAGAAUUGAUUCUACAAGCUUACAAAAAUAUUUGGUCAAGAAAAGGAACGGUCUUCAAGGUAUGGUUUAAUGGAUAUUGAUUUCAAUAAAUAGAGAGUGAUAUACGAACCAACAAUAACUCAAAAGAAGACAAAUUGUUUAAAAAGGGGAAGAGAAGGUUGAUCACGUAGGUACUUACAAAAGUGAAGGAAAGAAACAUCAUGAUAUCAAAUGAUGGUACAUGAAUCAAAUUUCUAUUCUAAAAGGGAUGUAUGAGUUCUAAGAAGGAUUAAAGUUGAUGCAUGAAAAAAGUUUUAUUUUAUUUUAUUUUAUCUUUAUCCAGUUUUCAAGAAGGGUUAUAGGGUGUCAAUGGAAUGGUCACAUGUGGCUACUUUCGUUCUUUCGUUAAUGUUAAACAGGUGGAUAAGGAUGAUGGGUUGAAAUUAAACACUAAAAGAAGGAAGAGAAGAUAUUUGUGAAAAAGAAAAAUAUAGAAUCAAAGAAGAUAAACAAAAGAACAAAUGGAACGGUGUAUAUGAUAGGUUUUUCACCUUGUGUUGCAAAGGAGUACACAUGAAGAAAUCACAAAACAAACGUACAAUCAUUAAAGUAUUAAACAUCCAAGAUUUGAGGACAAAGGAAGAAGUAACUCAAGCCUAGAUUAAGGGGUAUGUUGAAAUGUAAUCUACAUUUUGGAUUAAUAUAUGGUAAUUUCAUAGCCGUGUUAUCGAAGUUAACUUCUGUGUAAAGAAAGCUUCAUGCACACACUAUACUUGUAAGUUCUUAUUUUGAGGAUCAACUCCAACAAACUUCACAAGUGUUUCAAUUUUCAAAAUUUAUCCUUUAUCAAAUGCCAAUAAGAGUAAAAGCUAGAGAGAAAGAGAGAAGGUUGCAAGCUGAGAUAGAAGAUUAGGAAACUAGGAGAUGCCAUUGAUUCUCUUCUAAUUUGUUUUGGAUAUGGUGUCCAGUUCUUGAUGAUAGUGAAUAUAUAGAGGAAGAGACUUUAUAUAAAGUAUAAAGGAUGACCAUGAAGUUUCGUGUAGACCUGGCAAUUUGCUACAUGACACGAUUAACACGAUACGAGUUUUUCGUGUAUGUGUUUUAGAAAUUCGUGUUUCGUGUUUAUUUGUGUCUGACACAUUUUAAAUUCAUGUUUCGUGUCUUACACGUGUCAAACACAAAUUUACAUGUUUAGACACGUAUAAGACACGAUACAAAAUCAUGUUGACAUGUGAUACGUACAAACACACACACACACACACACACAUAUAUAUAUAUAUAUUAGGGUUAAAUUUUAUAUUUACAAUAUAUUAGGGAACAAUUUCAUAAAACACAAUAAUUAGUUUAUAUCCCUAGCUUUAAAAAAAAGCCAUUAAAAACGUGACUAUUCGUGUCGUGUCACGUGUCACACGAAUUUUUUACAUGUCGUGUUCGUGUUUGAUACCCCAAACACGUUUUAUAAUUCGUGUCGUGUUUGUGUUUAACAAAUUCAUAUCGUGUAAAUUCGUGUGUGACACGAAUACACGACACGCAGACACGGAUUGCCAGGUCUAGUUUCGUGGAACCUUCCUUAUAACUUCCUUCGUCACUUCAACAAUGUGAAUGUGUUUAAUGGAAAAGUAACAAAAAAUAUAUUUAUUACAAGAAAUUAAGUGAACUGUUAUUUCUUUUUGAUGCAAUAACAUCAUUUAUUUUUAUAAACAACAAAUAGACAAAAAAAUGUUCACCUUUCCUUGCUUUUAUGUAACAUACAUUCAAAAUCAUGGAAACGAUAAUAAUUAUUUAUUAUUAUUAUUAUUUAUGUUGAAAUUUGGAGAUUGAUUAUAUAAAACUACUUAUCAAAUUAUUCAAAAAUAAAUUUUUUAUUUUUCUAUUAUAGUGAAUUUUUGGACAACAUAUUUCAUGUACAACAAUAUAUCAUGAUCAUAUGUCCAUAUGUUAACACUAAUUGUGGGAUAUCAAAAGAAUAAUAAUAAGUUUAAGAUGAUGAUUAGGCUGCAACAAUCGAAAGAAUGCAACUUAAGAAGAUGAAAACUCUGAAGAUUAAAACCAAUCGAGAUUUAGUAAUUAAAAAGUAAGGUGUUUUCUUUUUAGGAACAAAGUCAAUCAUGUGGUCUUUGGUAAAAAAAUAAAAUGAGUUUCUCUACAACAAAAGAUAAAAAGGAGUACAAGGCUUUAUUAAAAGAAGGGUAGUAUGGUCUUUUGACAAAAAAACAUGGAUGGGAAUUGUUUCUAACCUUAUUAAAUGAGGAAAUCGUACAAGAAUAUAAUAAUGAAAAGAUCACUAUUUAGCAUGUGCCAUGGUGUACUAUUUGAUUUAUGCAAAGAUGAUGAUAACGUUUUAUCUUGAAAACAAAAGCUUAAAGUGGUAUUUCCAAAUACGAAAAGCUUUUUAUCUCUCUGUUAAAUUAUUAUGAAAACCUUUGUAUAUUGUAUUAUUUACUAGAUAUUUGAUAUAUAAUCUAUAGAAUACAAAUAAAACCUAAUCGUUAGUGAUCAAUUAGUAAUUAUUCCUCUCUUCGAUUAUUGUAAAAAAUGUGUACAUCAAAAUUUAUAAUAUCGUUAGUGAUCAAUUAGUAAUUAGUAGACAUACAUACAACAAAAAGUAAAUAUAAUCGAUAUAAGAGCAAUUAGGAGAAAAGUUUUUACUUGAUUUUUUCCAAAAGAGUCAACAAGAAAUGCAAAUUUAAAGAUCUACUACUAAUAUAUAAAAUCAUGACUAAAUUAUAAUACUCUUUUCCUAAGGAUUACUCUGUAUUUAUGAAGUUACUUCAGUUUAUUAAAAAGAAAAUUUUAAAUAAAUUUACGAAGAGAGAUAUAAAUUCAAUAGAAUCCUUAAAUGAAAACCAUAAAAGGGGCUCAAUUGAAGACAUAAAUACGAACAGGAUAUAAAAAUAAACAUUUUAAGAAAGAGGAAAAGAGCUCUUGAAAUGAGGAAGUAAGAUCACGCACCUAAUUGUUGAUUAACAAGGAUAUAAGUUGAUAAUGGUGGAAUUAGCUUUGAAAGAAAGGUUGUGGACUUGUGGGGUUCAUUCAGGAAUUUCGUCGAACAGGUCAUGGACAGAUAAAUUAACAAAAAAAAAAAUACACGUUCAACCAUGAUCAUCGAACAGCCUAACCAUGAGUUGACGCAAGAAAGAAACUUGAUUAGAAAUACAAACAAGGCCGGUCGAUUUCCGGCCAAAUAUUAAUCGAUCUUACUUGUGAGUGGUGACCGGAGAGCGGAGACCCGGAUCUCCUUUUUUUCCCCAUGUGUUCUUCCUGCAACCAUGUCCACCACCCGUUUGAUCAAUUGCAAUCUGGACACAGUUAUCGAUAACACUGAUUUUUCAUAUAAAUGCUUCCACAGAGGCUGCUGAUGAGGACGUUUGGUGCAUCGGUGGCGAAGUUAAGUUGGUGGGCUUUCAGAAGAGAGAUUGUUCGCCGGCAAAGGAAGUGUAGAUGAAGAGGGAGAAAGGAAAGCAGAUGAAGAUGAAGUGCAGUGUAUCUCAGAUGAGUGGGGAUUAAAUUCCCCUUUGUAGAACCAAACACGUGAAUAGAUUCUACUUUUUAGCGUUUCUUUUUAUGUUGGAAAUGUUUUUUAAA